rnacentral:lncRNA from 10 species
GUCUUGAUGGAUGAACAUCCUACCUGCUAGGGAACAUGAAGGAAGCCAAUCCCUCCCAGCCAUCGUCUUUGCUCCUACCCUGGCAGUCACAACACAAGCAAGAGAUUCAGGAAAUGAAAUAUUCCGUGCUCUGAAGUUUUCCCAGACACCUCAAGCAGCAGCUCCUCUGUUCCUCCGUGUUCCUGUAGCAAUUCCCACCUGCCUCUAUGGAAGUACUUCUCACACUGUUCUGUGAUCAUGUGUUUCUGUACUUGCCUCUCCUAAUUAGAGUGAGAGCAACUUCAAGCAACUUUAUUCACUGUUUUAUUUUUAGUGUCUGAAAAGUAAAAGGUAUCUAUGUUUGUUUACAUAUAGAUCAUUUAUCUUUAAAAAAUACUUUUAAAGUUAUAAUUUGCUAUGUGAAAUCACUUCUUCCUACUUUGAUAGCUAAUUGUCUAUUAUUCAUUAUCAGUAUAACUCACUAUAUUAACGCACCUAGCCAAACUCCACAGCAGCAACAGCCAGAUAUUUGGCACUUUAAAAUAAAAGUCUAGUAUUUUCU